AUUGAACGCUGGCGGCAGGCCUAACACAUGCAAGUCGAACGGUAACAGGAAGAAGCUUGCUUCUUUGCUGACGAGUGGCGGACGGGUGAGUAAUGUCUGUGAAACUGCCUGAUGGAGGGGGAUAACUACUGGAAACGGUAGCUAAUACCGCAUAACGUCGCAAGACCAAAGAGGGGGACCUUCGGGCCUCUUUCCAUCGGAUGUGCCCAGAUGGGAUUAGCUAGUAGGUGGGGUAACGGCUCACCUAGGCGACGAUCCCUAGCUGGUCUGAGAGGAUGACCAGCCACACUGGAACUGAGACACGGUCCAGACUCCUACGGGAGGCAGCAGUGGGGAAUAUUGCACAAUGGGCGCAAGCCUGAUGCAGCCAUGCCGCGUGUAUGAAGAAGGCCUUCGGGUUGUAAAGUACUUUCAGCGGGGAGGAAGGGAGUAAAGUUAAUACCUUUACUCAUUGACGUUACCCGCAGAAGAAGCACCGGCUAACUCCGUG
rnacentral:rRNA from 1 species